rnacentral:rRNA from 1 species
CCCUUAGAUGCUCUGGGCCGCACGCGCGCUACACUGACCAGUGCAACAAGCAUCCGUCCUUGGCCGACAGGCCCGGGCAAUCUUUGAACGCUGGUCGUGAUGGGGAUAGACUUUUGCAAUUUUUGGUCUUCAACGAGGAAUUCCUAGUAAACGCAAGUCAUCAACUUGCAUUGAUUACGUCCCUGCCCUUUGUACACACCGCCCGUCGCACCUACCGAUUGAAUGGUCCGGUGAAGCCUCCGGAUUGGCGCGCACCCCGGUGCCGCCGAGAAGUUGGCUAAACCUUACCAUUUAGAGGAAGGUGAAGUCGUAACA